rnacentral:rRNA from 1 species
CCCUUAGAUGUUCUGGGCCGCACGCGCGCUACACUGACGAUGGCAACGAGUUUUUCCUUCGCCGAAAGGUGUGGGUAAUCUUUUGAAACAUCGUCGUGCUGGGGAUAGAUCAUUGCAAUUUUUAAUCUUGAACGAGGAAUUCCUAGUAAGCGCGAGUCAUCAGCUCGCGUUGAUUACGUCCCUGCCCUUUGUACACACCGCCCGUCGCUACUACCGAUUGAAUGGUUUAGUGAGGACUCCUGAUUGGCGCCGCCGCCCCGGCAACGGAGCAGCGGACUGCCGAAAAGUUGUUCAAACUUGAUCAUUUAGAGGAAGUAAAAGUCGUAACA